UCACCCUUUCCUUCCCUGUUGCGCGCCUCCCGUCCGGCCGUCCCCUCCCCAGACCCAUCCAUCCCAGCCGCCUCGGUACCUCGCGCCGCCUGGGUCGGACCUCGCCGACGCCGCCGAAGCGCCGGACUUGGUGCUGCCUGAGCCGCGCGGGUUCCUGACCUGGGUGCAGAGCGGCGCCGUGCGCGGCGUAGGCGUGGGAGGUGCACGCGCUGUGGAGUAACCCGACGCGGCGGGUGGCGCCGGCCGCCGAGCUGCCUGGUUCUGCUCGGCACGAUUCGCACGCACGCGACACGCUCAUCUUCGUGGUGGAUCUCCGCCACCGCAUUCAGGCUUUGUAAUCAUAACUCGGUGAGAAGCAGAGGUUGUCUUCAAUCUUCGACUUCCUCCAGUUGAAGAUAUGGGAUUGCAUUAGCCUAUCCUGUCCGAAACACCGAAUGCCAAUUUCAAGCUCUGAUUAGCUUGCAAAAAGUAGGGGCAACGACAGCCUUGUGCCUGUCCUUCUUCUCUUUGUCUAGCAUUUCUUAAGAUUGAUACAUCAAAAUUCUAUGUAUGAUUCCAUAAAAUUGUGAUUUUGUUUUAUGCAUGUGGUUGUGUAAUUAACAUAAUAACUUUGUCCUUUGUGUGAAAUAAAUAUUUCUCAGUUUGAAUUA